UUUGCCGACUACCAGUCCGAGGCGGAACGGAAUGAGGCGCUGCAGUGUCGUCGUGGCCUUGGUGUGGAAAAGUCGUCUCUCGGCGCGUGCUGUCGCCCUCAUUCUGUCAAUGACGCCCAACGCCGGUUAUUUGAAAUGGCGUACGUUCGAGUGAAGAUCUGGGGAAACCACUCCACACUCACCACAGUCAUGAGCGUCCGUCCUGCUUAGUCUAGUUCGUCAACAACAAUAACAGCGCUGUCCAAACCGUGCAUCAACUCCAAGAUGAAGCUGGACAAACAGAUAUCGAAAGACGGUGAUAAUAAAGAGGAGGAGCGAAAGGAGGUAAAGACCGAAAAGGAAACAAAGGAGGCGAUGAAUGAGCGCCUCGCAGGCACCUCUACGGGCUCCGUAGAAUUCCCUAACAAACUUUUCCAGGACCAGCAGUACUCCAAAAUUUCCUUCGAUGAUGAAACAGAGAAGGUGGAGCAAGAAUUGGGGGAGAAAUCGACGAAAGAACAAUUAGAAAUGUCGAAGAUUGACUCCAAGUUAGCGCUGGUUAAUCUUGAGACGAUCAAAGAAGGCGAAGUAUUAGAGAUUCCACCAGAGGCCGUCUCACCCCAAGGAAGAGACGGAAGAGACUCGAUUCCCAGAGCGAGAUUCUACUUCGAUGACACUACUAGUGAGUUUGAGGGUCGUGAGGAAGGAGGCCAUACUGGUUCAGUUCAGUAUGAUGAUGAUGACGAUGCUGCAUCAGUCACCUCAUUACCUGGUGAACUGCCACCACCCCCUGAUGGUGGGUGGGGCUGGGUGAUAGUGGCAGUGUCGUUCCUCUGUAAUGCCAUUGUGGAUGGCAUUGCAUACUCCUUCAGUCCUUUCUUGGAUACCAUCUCUGUGCAAUUUGGUGCUCCAAAAGGGAAGGUUGCAUGGAUUCCUUCCCUCUUGGCUGGUGUCUAUCUCAGUGCAGGACCCAUUGUCUCUGCACUGACCAACAAGUUUGGUUGCAGAUCUGUGUGCAUAUUUGGUGGCAUAAUUGCCUCAUUUGCAUACUUCAUCACUAUUUUUGCUAAUUCUGUGGAGUACCUCAUGGUCUUUCAGGGAGUUCUUGGAGGGAUAGGCUUUGGGUUGGUCUACCUGCCGGCAGUGGUGUGUGUGGGCUAUUACUUUGAGUCCAAGCGUGCACUGGCAACUGGGAUUGCAGUUUGUGGGUCUGGCAUUGGUACCAUGAUCUUUCCACCACUGCUAAACUAUUUGAUCUCUGUGUUCUCCUGGCAGGGAACACAUCUCCUCAUUGCUGGAUUCAUCCUUAAUUGCUGUUGGUUUGGGGCUCUCAUGCGACCUUUAGAGGUGCCACGCAUGAAGAAGAAGGACCUCCUUCAGCGUCUUGCAGAGGAGAAACGUGCAAACAUGGAAGGUGGUUCCCUAUGUGAUUCCACUUACCUUACUUACACCCAUCCAGAUGGAAGUGUGGAACGAAGACCAAGGAAAGGCAUGAAUCCUGAUCCAGGUGUUCACUCUCAUUUGAAUCUAUCUGGCUACCUCACACCAGUAUCAACCAACUUGGCCUUGCCUACUAUUCAGGAGACUCAAGGUAGCACUCCACCUGACAAAGAGUCUCCACUUGCAGCAGAGGCAGAUCCACCAGCCACAUCUGCUGUUGAGAGCAGCCAUACCAAUGGUAUGGAGAAACAGACCCUUCUUGGAAGUGGAGGAGAACCUCACCCACUUCCAGCAAGGGUUGCAGCUCUUGCCACAGCUGCCAAGAUGCCACGAAACUGUUCCCAGCCUGCCAUGAAUCAAGGCUCCUUUAGUGUAAUUCCUAAGAAUGGAUCUGUUCCUAACUUUGAAAGGAGAUUAUCUAAAGUGGAAAUUGCCAGUACCAUGAAGGUGGUACCAGCAACGCCAAAGGCCUCCUCUUCAAACCUACGAGCACUUGGAUCACAAGAGAUGAGACGAAUGUCAGGAGGCUACGGAAGGGUCAACUCUAAUAGCUCCUUCAUGGAUGCAGACUCUGUUAUACUGAAAAUGCGGCGAUCAUCCUCAAGGUCUAUGAUGCUUCGUCCAAUGUCACGUCAAGACAUCUUUUACUCAGGAAGCAUUGCCAACUUACGAGAGUUCAAGUCUCAAGCAUCAAUGCUGUCUUAUCGAGAGUCAGCACUCAACUUGCAGGGAACUGGGGCGUCCAGAGCAGUCCUGGAUGCCCUAGAUGGACCUGAUGACUCAGAAGAGACCUGCUCAUGCCUACCAGAAUCAAUCAGAGGAACCCUGAGUCAGAUGAUGGAUUUUUCCCUUCUCAAGAAUCCAAUCUUUCUUCUUAUUGGAGUGGCCAACCUCUUUGGAAUGCUGGGCUUCUACACUCCAUUUGUGUACCUCCCAUCUGCAGCCAUAGAGAAGGGUGUGGAUCCAGAAUAUGCCACUUUUCUCAUCUCCCUCAUUGGCAUCACCAAUACAAUUGGUCGUGUGUUGUCUGGCAUCAUAGCAGACUUACCAUGUGUGAGUCCAUUGUGGAUCAACAACAUUUGUAUCAUCAUGUCAGGAGUCUGUGUCUUCCUCACUCCAUUUGCCAGUUCCUACAGCUCCUUUGUGGUCCUCUCCCUCUUCUUUGGAUUCUUUGUCUUAUCUGUCACUGAGCUGUGUCAGCACAACCUGCCUUCACUCUAUGGUUGUUCCUGCAGCUCCGUUCAUCGCCCUCACCUCCAUCAUCAUUGUGGACCUGCUCAGCCUCAGACAACUCACGAAUGCCUUUGGUCUUCUGUGUAUCUUCCGUGGAAUAGCUGGGAUCUUGGGUCCUCCUGUGUCAGCUGCCUACAUCUCCCUCUCGUCAAUCAUCUUGGUUCAACUUCUGGGACUGUCGCAGCUUACCAAUGCCUUUGGGCUACUGAUCUUGUUCCGAGGGUCAGCCUCCAUGGUGGGGGCACCUAUCUCAGGAAGCAUUUACGAUGCUACGCAUAGCUACGACAUCUCCUUCUACUCUGCGGGUGCCCUUCUGUUUGUGUGUGCUGGCUUACAUUGUGCAGUCCCAUUGGUUCAACGUUUAUGGAGCCAAGACAGCAGACCAGUCACCUACACCACCAAUGAAGAAUACUUAGCUUCAGUACCAGAAGAAGGUGAAAGUGAAGCUGUAUCACCAGAUGCUGGUGUUGGCAUUGUUCUUGAUAUCAAACCCAAAGAUUUUGCUGUAGUAAUGCAAGAGUCUGGAGAGAACAAGAUUGUGCUAGAUGCUUCUCAAAAUGAGAAAGGCAAAGAAAGUGUCUCUUCCCUGUGAAAUAGCUUAAAUAAUGAACUUUGUGAAUUUUGCUGAAUUCAUCAAAACUUACACAGAAUUGUGUAAAGUGAAUAGGCAAGUGACAGACAAUAAAAUACACCCAGAGGAAGUGUUUGCCAUAAUUAAUGUCAGAUAUUGUCACCUGCUGAAAAUAAAUUUGUCUUUCAUUAUGUAGGCUUAUAAACUAGAAAUACCGAAAUGUAACCAUAAAUUAUUUUUAUCUUACAGUACAGUAUAAGAAUUGCAAGAUAAUUUCUUUUAAAACAAGUUCGAAGGAACUCAUGGAAAAGUAUAGAAUGUAUUUCAUAUAUGGCUUCACACCAAGUAGUUUUAUGCCUGUGGAAAUAACAAACAUUACUUAGUCUAGUCUUUGAGUAUGUGAAAUAUUGUGAAAGGUGUCUCAUUUCAAGAAAACAAGUAGAGUGAGGGAGGGUAGAGAUCAAUGAUGAAUCACACAGUUCACUGAAAGAAACUAGGUACCCAUUUGGGAAGAAAGUCUUAUUUUGUUUUGUGUUCAUGCAUUAGGGAAUGCUUCAGGUAAUGGAUGAAAAGUGCCAAAACCUAAGACAACAAAUCUGAAUCCUUUAAUGACCAUGUCAAAAGGAAGAUACUGAAGCUUCCCUCAGUGUAUGACUGCCUCAGACUAUUCUUGAACAAUUACAUACAUGUUCUGAUAUUUGCUUUGCAAUUAUGUGAGAAAUAUGAAAGGAUAGCUUUCAUUUUUAAUAGAUUUUGUAAAAGGCAUAGACAAGUCUGGUAGUUAAUCUGCAAAGGUUGGUAACAUUUAUAGGUCAGCUAAGCCUUCCCUUAUACGAGGGCUAAUUUUGAAAUUAGGUACUAUAUGCAAGGUGGAGAAUGUAAGGACAAGGAUGGAAAUUCUUUGUUCUAGUAGGCCAUGAGACACACAAAAUGAAUUUACUUUGCGGCACAAUAUUUUUCUGAAGUAAUCAUAAUUUCAAUCGCUCAUUUUAUUUUUAUAAUCUGUUAUGAGAAUGUGAUGGCAUCAAGCAAGAUAUUGUCUUUUGGUAAUUUUCCACCCAUUGACUAUGGGCUCUCAAGUCUCAUAACAUAUGCUAGUUGUAAGUAAUGUACAAAUUCA